rnacentral:rRNA from 1 species
UAACCGACUCUCGGCAACGGAUAUCUCGGCUCUCGCAUCGAUGAAGAACGUAGCGAACUGCGAUACUUGGUGUGAAUUGCAGAAUCCCGUGAACCAUCGAGUCUUUGAACGCAAGUUGCGCCCGAAUCCGUYUGGACGAGGGCACGUUUGCCUGGGUGUCA